GACGAACCGUGCGAACGUUGUUCGGAAUCACUGGGCUUAAAGCGCACGUAGGCGGAUCUUUAAGUCAGGGGUGAAAUCCCGAGGCUCAACCUCGGAACUGCCUUUGAUACUGGGGAUCUCGAGUCCGGGAGAGGUGAGUGGAACUGCGAGUGUAGAGGUGAAAUUCGUAGAUAUUCGCAAGAACACCAGUGGCGAAGGCGGCUCACUGGCCCGGAACUGACGCUGAGGUGCGAAAGCGUGGGGAGCAAACAGG
rnacentral:rRNA from 1 species